AGUCGAACGGCAGCAUGAUCUAGCUUGCUAGAUUGAUGGCGAGUGGCGAACGGGUGAGUAAUACAUCGGAACGUGCCCUGUAGAGGGGGAUAACUAGUCGAAAGAUUAGCUAAUACCGCAUACGACCUGAGGGUGAAAGUGGGGGACCGCAAGGCCUCAUGCUAUAGGAGCGGCCGAUGUCUGAUUAGCUAGUUGGUGGGGUAAAGGCCCACCAAGGCGACGAUCAGUAGCUGGUCUGAGAGGACGAUCAGCCACACUGGGACUGAGACACGGCCCAGACUCCUACGGGAGGCAGCAGUGGGGAAUUUUGGACAAUGGGCGAAAGCCUGAUCCAGCAAUGCCGCGUGUGUGAAGAAGGCCUUCGGGUUGUAAAGCACUUUUGUCCGGAAAGAAAUGGCUCUGGUUAAUACCUGGGGUCGAUGACGGUACCGGAAGAAUAAGGACCGGCUAACUACGUGCCAGCAGCCGCGGUAAUACGUAGGGUCCAAGCGUUAAUCGGAAUUACUGGGCGUAAAGCGUGCGCAGGCGGUUGUGCAAGACCGAUGUGAAAUCCCCGAGCUUAACUUGGGAAUUGCAUUGGUGACUGCACGGCUAGAGUGUGUCAGAGGGGGGUAGAAUUCCACGUGUAGCGGUGAAAUGCGUAGAGAUGUGGAGGAAUACCGAUGGCGAAGGCAGCCCCCUGGGAUAACACUGACGCUCAUGCACGAAAGCGUGGGGAGCAAACAGG
rnacentral:rRNA from 1 species